rnacentral:misc_RNA from 1 species
GAUGAAGAACGUAGCGAAAUGCGAUACGUAAUGUGAAUUGCAGAAUUCAGUGAAUCAUCGAGUCUUUGAACGCACAUUGCGCCCUCUGGUAUUCCGGAGGGCAUGCCUGUCCGAGCGUCAUUUCAACCAUCAAGCCCCCGGCUUGUGUUGGGGACCUGCGGCUGCCGCAGGCCCUGAAAAGCAGUGGCGGGCUCGCUGUCACACCGAGCGUAGUAGCAUACAUCUCGCUCUGGGCGUGCUGCGGGUUCCGGCCGUUAAACCACCUUCAUAACCCAAGGUUGACCUCGGAUCAGGUAGGAAGACCCGCUGAACUUAAGCAUAUCAAUAAGCGGAGGA